GAUGAAGAACGCAGCGAAAUGCGAUAAGAAGUGUGAAUUGCAGAAUUCAGUGAAUCAUCGAAUCUUUGAACGCACAUUGCGCCCUUUGGUAUUCCUUAGGGCAUGCCUGUUCGAGCGUCAUUUGAACCCUCAAGCUCAGCUUGGUGUUGGGUGUCUGUCCCCGCCUCCGCGGGGACUCGCCUCAAAAUCAUUGGCGGCCGGUACGUUGGCUUCGAGCGCAGCAGAAACGCGAACUCGAGGCCCGGGGGAUCGGCGACCAGAAGUCUCAUCUUCACAGUUUGACCUCGGAUCAGGUAGGGAUACCCGCUGAACUUAAGCAUAUCAAUAAGCGGAGGA
rnacentral:misc_RNA from 1 species